GACGAACGCUGGCGGCGUGCCUAACACAUGCAAGUCGAGCGAGGGGAGUUCUUCGGAACAAACCUAGCGGCGGACGGGUGAGUAACACGUGGGCAACCUGCCUCAUAGAGGGGAAUAGCCUUCCGAAAGGAAGAUUAAUACCCCAUAAGAUUGUAGUUUCGCAUGAAGCAGCAAUUAAAGGAGCAAUCCGCUAUGAGAUGGGCCCGCGGCGCAUUAGCUAGUUGGUGAGGUAACGGCUCACCAAGGCGACGAUGCGUAGCCGACCUGAGAGGGUGAUCGGCCACAUUGGGACUGAGACACGGCCCAGACUCCUACGGGAGGCAGCAGUGGGGAAUAUUGCACAAUGGGGGAAACCCUGAUGCAGCAACGCCGCGUGAGUGAUGAAGGCCUUCGGGUUGUAAAGCUCUGUCUUCAGGGACGAUAAUGACGGUACCUGAGGAGGAAGCCACGGCUAACUACGUGCCAGCCGCCGCCGUAACAC
rnacentral:rRNA from 1 species